AUCUUGAUGACAAGUUCCAAAUUGGACGAAACGCGCGUCCUGGAU
rnacentral:hammerhead_ribozyme from 1 species